rnacentral:rRNA from 1 species
CACGGUAGGGCGCAAGCGUUGUCCGGAAUAUUGGGCGUAAAGAGCUCGUAGGCGGUCUGUUACGUCUGCUGUGAAAACCCAGGGCUUAACCCUGGGCUUGCCAGUGGAUACGGGGCAGACUAGAGGCAGGUAGGGAGAAUGGAAUUCCCGGUGUAGGCGGUGAAAUGCGCAGAUAUCGGGAGGAACACCGGUGGCGAAGGCGGUUCUCUGGGCCUGACCUGACGGCUGAGGAGCGAAAGCGUGGGGAGCGAACAGG